AGAUAGAAAGUGGUCAUCGUCCAGUAGCUUAAAUCCAGUGUUUUGAGUGCACCAAAAUGGUCUUCUGUCAUAAGCUGGUUUUCUUGGGUCUAACUCUUGGUCUGCUUGCCAACUCAGUCAAUGGAGGUCCAGGGGUUGGAGCAGCAUGUCUUCUAGCUUGCAGUGCAGGGUGGACCGCAUGUGUUGCCGGACUGGGACCUUUUGCAGCGGUAGCUGCUUUUGUCCCAUGUGGUGCAAUGUAUGCGCAAUGUGUACAGGCGUGCACUGUAAUUGUAGUACUGCCAACACCUUGAAGUUACAAGAUAUCCCCGUUUUCAGGACGGAAAAUAAUAGAUUUAUCAUAAAACAUAGUAUGUAAGUGGGUGUGUGUGUCAUAAAAAGUAAAGAGCAAAAUGAGAAAUAGGAAAUAAGAAUAAAGUAAAAACUGAUUAAUUGGACUGGACAUUUACUAAGAAAUUAAAAACUUAAAAUGUACUUAUGUAUGUAUUUGAUUUAAAAUAUGGCUGAAAUGAUUAAUAAAUGUUGUACGCAUUGUGCUCUUCUUGUUUUUACAA